CGCAGCCGCGGUAAUUCCAGCUCCAAUAGCGUAUAUUAAAGUUGCUGCAGUUAAAAAGCUCGUAGUUGAAUUUCGGGAUCGAUAUAUCGGCCGUGCCUCGGUACGUACUGGUAUUUUCGGUUUCUCCCUUCUGACGAACCUUGAUGUCAUUAAUUUGGUGUCUUGGGGAAUCAGGACUGUUACUUUGAAAAAAAUUAGAGUGUUUAAAGCAGGCUCACGCUUGAAUACAUUAGCAUGGAAUAAUGAAAUAGGACGUUUGAUUCUAUUUUGUUGGUUUCUAGGAUCGACGUAAUGAUUAAUAGGGAUAGUUGGGGGCAUUAGUAUUCAAUUGUCAGAGGUGAAAUUCUUGGAUUUAUUGAAGACUAAACUACUGCGAAAGCAUUUGCCAAGGAUGUUUUCAUUAAUCAAGAACGAAAGUUAGGGGAUCGAAGACGAAUCAGAUACCGUCGUAGUCUUAACCAUAAACUAUGCCGACUAGGGAUCGGAUGAUGUUAAUUUUUAAUGACUCAUUCGGCGCCUU
rnacentral:rRNA from 1 species